rnacentral:rRNA from 1 species
UGUGUAGGCGGCCGCGUAAGUCGGAUGUGAAAGCCCUGGGCUCAACCCAGGAAGUGCAUCGGAAACUGCGUGGCUGGAGUACCGGAGAGGUUGGUAGAAUUCUCGGUGUAGAGGUGAAAUUCGUAGAUAUCGAGAGGAAUACCUGUGGCGAAGGCGGCCAACUGGACGAGUACUGACGCUGAGACACGAAAGCGUGGGGAGCAAACAGGAUUAGAUACCCUGGUAGUCCACGCCGUAAACGAUGGGUGCUAGGUGUCGCAGGCUUUGACUCCUGCGGUGCCGUAGCUAACGCAUUAAGCACCCCGCCUGGGAAGUACGGCCGCAAGGCUAAA